UGGAGUGUAGCUCAGUGGUACAACACUUGCCUAGCAUAAUGAGGCCCUGGGUUCAAUCCCCAGCACUGCAA
rnacentral:tRNA from 1 species